rnacentral:rRNA from 1 species
CAAUAGCGUAUAUUAAAGUUGUUGCAGUUAAAAAGCUCGUAGUUGAACUUUUGGUAGGAGCGACCUGGCCUUGGGCGCAUGCCCUUGUUUGCCGUGUGUCGUAUCUGGCCAUCCUUUUCCGCUUCGGCGGGAAUCCUUUACUGUGAGUAAACUGGAGUGCUCAAAACAAGACGUUUGUUUGGUACAUUAAAGCAUGGAAUAAUAAGAUAGGACCUGGUUACUAUUUUGUUGGUUUGCAUAGCUAGGUAAUGAUUAACAGGGACAGUUGGGGGUAUUCGUAUUUAAUUGUCAGAGGUGAAAUUCUUGGAUUUAUGAAAGACGAACGACUGCGAAAGCAUUUACCAAGGAUGUUUUCAUUAA